GAUGAACGCUGGCGGCGUGCCUAAUACAUGCAAGUCGAGCGAACAGAUAAGGAGCUUGCUCCUUUGACGUUAGCGGCGGACGGGUGAGUAACACGUGGGUAACCUACCUAUAAGACUGGAAUAACUCCGGGAAACCGGGGCUAAUGCCGGAUAACAUGUUGAACCGCAUGGUUCUACAGUGAAAGGCGGCUUUGCUGUCACUUAUAGAUGGACCCGCGCCGUAUUAGCUAGUUGGUGAGGUAACGGCUCACCAAGGCAACGAUACGUAGCCGACCUGAGAGGGUGAUCGGCCACACUGGAACUGAGAAACGGUCCAGACUCCUACGGGAGGCAGCAGUAGGGAAUCUUCCGCAAUGGGCGAAAGCCUGACGGAGCAACGCCGCGUGAGUGAUGAAGGUCUUCGGAUCGUAAAACUCUGUUAUUAGGGAAGAACAAAUGCGUAAGUAACUGUGCGCGUCUUGACGGUACCUAAUCAGAAAGCCACGGCUAACUACGUG
rnacentral:rRNA from 1 species